rnacentral:tRNA from 3 species
UCGCUAAGAAGCUAAACAGGGUAAAGCGUUAGCCUUUUAAGCUAAAAAUGGUGCCUCCCAACCACCCCUAGCGGUA